rnacentral:tRNA from 1 species
GGAAGUGUAAAAGUCUCUGGUGUGCUUCCUGGACUUCAAAUCCAGUGGCGGGGAUAGUCACUAUGUCCGCGGUGGGUUCGAUUCCCAUACACUUCC